rnacentral:sRNA from 1 species
ACGUGACCCUAGGCCCCGGUCCAACAUGGCGACCUCCACGGGUCGCUGGCUUCUCCUCCGACUUGCACUAUUCGGCUUCCUCUGGGAAGCGUCCGGCAGCCUCGACUCGGGGGCCUCCCGCGACGACGACUUGCUACUGCCCUAUCCACGCGCGCGCGCGCGCCUCCCACGGGACUGCACACGGGUGCGCGCCGGCAGCCGCGAGCACGAGAGUUGGCCUCCGCCCCCCACGACCCCCGGCGCCGGCGGUCUGGCCUUGCGCACCUUCGUGUCGCACUUCAGGGACCGCGCGGUGGCCGGCCACCUGACGCGGGCCGUUGAGCCCCUGCGCACCUUCUCGGUGCUGGAGCCCGGUGGGCCCGGCGGCUGCGCGGCGAGACGACGCGCCACCGUGGAGGAGACGGCGCGGGCGGCCGACUGCCGCGUCGCCCAGAACGGCGGCUUCUUCCGCAUGAACUCGGGCGAGUGCCUGGGGAACGUGGUGAGCGACGAGCGGCGGGUACCUGUCUGAGGAGGAGGUGCUGGACACUGAGAACCCAUUUGUGCAGCUGCUGAGUGGGGUCGUGUGGCUGAUUCGUAAUGGAAGCAUCUACAUCAACGAGAGCCAAGCCACGGAGUGCGACGAGACACAGGAGACAGGUUGGAUGGGGAGACUGUUGGCAACAGCCCUCUUGAGAACCAGGACCAGUGGGCUGGGCGGAGCUGUUCUUAAGUCUUUCAACGAGUAUUGAGCAGCUACUUUGUGCCCAGCACUAUUCUGGGUACUGGGGAUUCAUGGGGAUGAAGAUAGGCUUAUAUUGAAUAUAUAGGACAGAAAAUAGUUAUAGAAUAUGCUGAAAAGAAUUGAUAAGUGCUCAGAAAGAAAAAUAAAGUUAGGGGAAAGGGGAGAAAUGGGGACAGGAGCUGUGCAUACAGGAAGAGAAAAGUGAAGAGAAAAAAAUCUUCAUGGACCUGCAACAUCGACGUGGCCAGGAACUUGUUCCAAAGCCCAACACACCUCAGACCUGCAGAAUCAGAGGCAAGGCCCAAGAGUCUAUGUUUUAACGGGCCUCCAUGGUGAUUCUGACCCACACUCAAGGUUGAGAACCACUGGGAUGUGGAAUACUGGGAUGAGGACAGGAUACCAUGGCCGUUUUAGAGUGCGCAGUAAGCUAGGUGUGGUGGCGCACACCUGUAAUCCAAGCAGUUUGAGAGGCUGAGGCGGGAGGAUCGGUUGAGCCCAGGAGUUCAAGACCUGCCUGGGCAACAUAGUGAGACCUAUCUCUACAAAAAAAAUACAAAAAUUAGCCAGGCAUGGUGGUGUGUGCCUGUAGUCCCAGCUACUUGGGAGGCUGAAGCAUGAGAGUUGCUUG